rnacentral:lncRNA from 1 species
AGAAAAUGGCUAUCGGCCUUAACAGAGAAACUUGCAUACAAGAAACCACAUCGAAGAAACAAAUUUUCACUGCGGCAUUUAAGCAAACAGAUGGUGUGCAUUGUGGAAUAAAAAAGAAAGAACAUGAUACAAAUGGAAAUAUGGACCUUUGAGCAGAAAAACCCCAAGAAACUUCAACCACCAUCAAACUUCAACCGAUCGCAAGGAGUCGCACAGCGGAAUUGAGUCCGAGAAUCGGCCUGGCUCUUGAUACCAUGUUAAGAGAAAUAAAGAGUUGCAGACAGAGCAUGUAUUGAAGAAGAAGAGAGAAAAGGGAAUAAGAGAGAGAUAAAGUAAUGGAUUACAUUGAUACUCAAUUGAUCUUUACAACUAUGAGAAUACAAUUUAUAUAGCCAUCAUGACUAGCUUGCAGCCUAAGCUAUUUAACUAACUAAUUUGAUAACAACCUAACUAACUAUUGCUGA